UACGUAGGCAGCAAGCGUUGUUCGGAGUUACUGGGCGUAAAGGGUGCGUAGGCGGCUUUUUAAGUUUGGUGUGAAAUCUCCUGGCUUAACCGGGAGGGUGCGCCGAAUACUGAGAAGCUAGAGUAUGGGAGAGGAAAGUGGAAUUCCUGGUGUAGCGGUGAAAUGCGUAGAUAUCAGGAGGAACACCUGUGGUGUAGACGGCUUUCUGGACCAUAACUGACGCUGAGGCACGAAGGUCAGGGGAGCAAACGGG
rnacentral:rRNA from 1 species